ACAACAUUUGGAGGCCAAUAGGACGGGGGUAAGACGGGGUUGAAGGAGAGGACGGGGAAGAGGAAGGGGAGUCAGGAACACAAUAACGGAUGAAAUCAGAAUGACUGUGGUUGACCAUGUUGUCAACCAUGGAAUGCGCAUGAGGAAGGCUGGGCAACGGGUUCAACCAAAUCUGAGCCACUAUACUAUUGCAGGUAUCAUCUGGAUAUUUAGAAAUGAGAACCGAAAACUGGUGGAAGAGAUCGACUGUUCACCCCAGAGCAGGAGACCCACAUUGUCAAUAUGAUCAUUGCAAAUAACUGCAUCAGAGAACUGCAGGACCACAUAAUGGCAGAUAUCACCACAUUCCGAAACGUCAACAGAGUGGGUCCAGGGAGAGCACAAGUUCAGCCCUCCUGGCAGUGAAACGUAUCGGAGCAUUCUUCCCUGUUGUGGACCCCACCACUCUCGGGGGAUACUUGGAGUCCUGGAACUGGCCCCAUCCUGACCUUUUGACCUACUGUAUGACUAAUCACACUGACAUAUUCAAUGAGCGAUGGGUGCAUGAGACACUGAGGUAUUGUUCCUUGCUUAUAAUUCUGGAUCAAAUACACUAUGAAAACAAACAUGUUGACAUGAUGUGGUCACCCUGAUAUUGGGGAAUUCAUGACACCCUGUAAAAAUGACAUUUUAUUGUAUUCAUCUGUUUUGCUUGUCUCCAAUGUUCCCGUCUACUGUAUGCAAUAAAGAAUGACCAACCCUUCCCAUGA